GAUGAAGAACGUAGCGAAAUGCGAUAAGUAAUGUGAAUUGCAGAAUUCAGUGAAUCAUCGAAUCUUUGAACGCACAUUGCGCCCCUUGGUAUUCCGAGGGGCAUGCCUGUUCGAGCGUCAUUAUAACCCCUCAAGCUCAGCUUGGUGUUGGGGCCUGCUGCACUGGCAGCCCUUAAAAUCAGUGGCGGCGCCAUCUGGCUCUAAGCGUAGUAAUUCUUCUCGCUAUGGAGUCCUGGUGGAUGCUUGCCAUCAACCCCAAAUUUUUCUAUGGUUGACCUCGGAUCAGGUAGGGAUACCCGCUGAACUUAAGCAUAUCAAUAAGCGGAGGA
rnacentral:misc_RNA from 1 species